UCUUGAUAGAAAUUACCACAAUUUGCAACCAUGCAAGAACUCAUCACUAGAGUAAUACCCAAGAACAAUGCUGAAAACCCUUCAAAGAAAGAAGCCAUUGUAUUUGAAAUUUGAAAGAAAGAGGCUGUAAUGUUAUUUUGUGUGUCGUGAAUUUGAAAGAGGUGUACUAUAUAUAGGGGCCCUGGUUGGGGGGGACCGGGGUGGGGUGUUUUUAAGAAGAGAUGGAAAUGCUUGUGAAGAAAUGGGUGUGGGAGCUGGUGCCAGCUUGGAGCAAUGAAAGCUGGAUGGUUUUUGUUUGGACCUUUAAGUGGGUUUUUAAGUAUUUUUGUUUUGUUUUUUCCAGCAAUGAUUCGGUUCUCCCCAGAAAUAGGGUAGCAUGG
rnacentral:lncRNA from 1 species